rnacentral:ncRNA from 1 species
CCCGCUGAACUUAAGCAUAUCAUUAAGCGGUGGAAAAGAAACUAACCAGGAUUCCCCUAGUAACGGCGAGCGAACCGGGAAUAGCCCAACUUGAAAAUCUCCCCUUGGAGAAUUGUAGUCUACAGAAGCGCCCUCAUGGGCUGGCGGAACUCAAGUCGGAUCGAAUGCCGCGUCAGAGAGGGUGAUAACCCCGUCGGUUCCUGCCUAGUCCUCUCACGAGGUGCUUUCCACGAGUCGGGUUGUUUGGGAAUGCAGCCCUAAUUUGGAGGUAAAUCCCUUCUAAGGCUAAAUACUGCUGAGAGACCGAUAGCGAACAAGUACCGUGAGGGAAAGAUGAAAAGAACUUUGAAAAGAGAGUUAAAAGUGCUUGAAAUUGUUGAGAGGGAAGCGAUUAGCGCUUGUGUGUGCCCCCAGGCUUAAGUGUGCCUAACGGCCCAUUGAAUGUGCUGGGUGCUGGUCAGAGUGGGUUGUCUUGGCGGGAAAACAGUUGGGUCCACCCCGGUAACCCGGCCGAUGCCGCCGAGAUGACCAAGGCGUGAAGGUUGCUUUGUCCUUCGGGAUCCGCAUCCUAAAGACUCUGGCAGAAAAGCGUUAAUCGACCCGUCUUGAAACACGGACCAAGGAGUCUAACAUGUAUGCGAGUUGGCGGGUUGAAAACNCCGUAAGCGCAAGUAACCUGACUGGUGGGAUGGCCUGUGCCUGCACCAUCGACCGACCAUGUUGCUUUUGCGAAAGGUUUGAGUGCGAGCAUACCUGUUGGGACCCGAAAGAUGGUGAACUAUGCCUGAGCAGGGUGAAGCCAGAGUAACCUCUGGUGGAGGCUCGUAGAUGUGCUGACGUGCAAAUCGCUUUUCAGACUUGGGUAUAGGGGCGAAAGACUAAUCGAACCAUCUAGUAGCUGGUUCCCUCCGAAGUUUCCCCCAGGAUAGCUGGAGCUUGAUCAGUUUUAUCGGGUAAAGCGAAUGAUUAGAGGUUCGGGGGAUGAAACAUCCUUCACCUAUUCUCAAACUUUAAAUAGGUAAGACGUGUCGGUUGCUUAACUGAACCGUCACAUUCAAUGUGAGCUCCAAGUGGGCCAUUUUUGGUAAGCAGAACUGGCGAUGCGGGAUGAACCGAUAGUCGAGUUAAGGUGCCAAACUGCGCGCUAACCUAGAUCCCACAAAGGGUGUUGAUUGAUAUAAACAGCAGGACGGUGGUCAUGGAAGUCGAAAUCCGCUAAGGAGUGUGUAACAACUCACCUGCCGAAUCAAUUAGCCCCGAAAAUGGAUGGCGCUUAAGCGCGCGACCUAUACUCGGCCAUGGAUGCAAGUGCGACGCGUCCAUGAGUAGGAGGGCGUGGGUGUCGAGACUAAGCCUCUGGCGUGAGCCUGGGUGAAUCGGCAUCUAGUGCAGAUCUUGGUGGUAGUAGCAAAUAUUCAAAUGAGAACUUUGAAGACUGAAGUGGAGAAAGGUUCCAAGUGAACAGCAAUGGACAUGGGUUAGUCGAUCCUAAGAGAUGGGCNNNNNNNNNNNNNNNNNNNNNNN